GUCAUUAUUGUUUUGAGAUAAGCUAUUUGGGGUGUAGAGCACUUUAUUAUGGGGACAGAACGCAGAUUCUAUAAAUAGUAUAAAGUCUGCUAUUGACAAUAGCUCACUAACAAAUACCACUAUCUGGUAGUCACUUCAGAUUGAUUAAUGAGUUGAUUAUUUAGGGCUGAACGCUUGUUAAAACCACUGGGCCGCAAGGCAGCGUGUUAAACCGUGCAGCUGUGAAACUGCAAUAUAAUCCACGAGCUGAUAAAAUCUGGAAAUAUUUAAUCUGUCUAUUAUUUAAAAAUUAUUAUUCAGCAUUCAUAAGUAGAGGGUGAAUCUGAUUGUUAGUUGAUGUCAUCAAACACCUAUGUUCUGUCUCUUGUUCUGCACAACAUCCUCAGGUCACAAUAUAGAAUCAGUUGUCACUUGUAGGCACAGCAACAGCUGGCCAGAGAAGAGAGACACAUCCUUCCAGGCAGAGCUUUGUAAUGAGAAGAAAACCUUUCUCAGAAGUGCUCAAGAUGCCUGUCUUCAGAAUGAGAAAAUAAGAUACAGGGAAGAUAAAUGAUCAAAAAUCACGAACAGAAAUAAUGAAAGAUUUCUUGACACUCCAGUUCAGAGUUAACUACAACAGAUUUUACCUCCCCCAAGACCACGUCUUUCUUCCUGGAACAGUUUGGAACAGAUCAGUGAAAGGUCAUAACACGUAGAUAAACAUGUUCACAGAAUAGUUCAUCAAAAGUGGAUUCUAUGAAAAUCGAAUACUUGACUUUGCCUGAAGCAAAGUGGAGCAUUAUUUUACAUUAGUCAGAACUAUCAGGCUGGUAAUUUGGAAAUUAUACACACACUGUUGAAAGAAUGUCUAAAUCUGAAUGGAAUUUCUAAGCUCUUAGCUCAAGAUUUGAUUAAUUAAAAAGCAAGAAAUGGAUGCAUUGACUGUGUUUACAAGUGAUAUGUCCUGGUUUUAUCCUUUAUCUGUUCUCAUCUUUGAGGGUUUCCAUUAAGGUCGUCAAGUUUUGAAUAAGCCUGACAAGCAUUCAACAGCUUUCAGCAGUGGCAAAGGCUGUUUAUAGAGGGG
rnacentral:lncRNA from 13 species